AACGCGAAGAACCUUACCUACCCUUGACAUGUACGGAAGCCCUCAGAGAUGGGGGUGUGCCCGAAAGGGAGCCGUAACACAGGUGCUGCAUGGCUGUCGUCAGCUCGUGUCGUGAGAUGUUGGGUUAAGUCCCGCAACGAGCGCAACCCUUGUCCCUAGUUGCUACGCAAGGGCACUCUAGGGAGACUGCCGGUGACAAACCGGAGGAAGGUGGGGAUGACGUCAAGUCCUCAUGGCCCUUAUGGGUAGGGCUUCACACGUCAUACAAUGGCCGGUACAGAGGGUUGCCAAAGCGCGAGCUGGAGCCAAUCCCAGAAAGCCGGUCGUAGUCCGGAUUGCAGUCUGCAACUCGACUGCAUGAAGUCGGAAUCGCUAGUAAUCGCGGAUCAGCAUGUCGCGGUGAAUACGUUCCCGGGUCUGUACACACCG
rnacentral:rRNA from 1 species